UACGUAGGGUGCGAGCGUUGUCCGGAAUUAUUGGGCGUAAAGGGCUCGUAGGCGGUUUGUCGCGUCGGGAGUGAAAACUCAGGGCUUAACCCUGAGCCUGCUUCCGAUACGGGCAGACUAGAGGUAUGCAGGGGAGAACGGAAUUCCUGGUGUAGCGGUGAAAUGCGCAGAUAUCUGGAGGAACACCGGUGGCGAAGGCGGCAUCCUGGACCAUUACUGACGCUGAGUGAGCGAAAGCCAGGGGAGCAAAGCGGG
rnacentral:rRNA from 1 species